UACGGAGGGUGCAAGCGUUAAUCGGAAUUACUGGGCGUAAAGCGUGCGUAGGUGGUUCGUUAAGUCCGUUGUGAAAGCCCCGAGCUCAACUUGGGAAUUGCAGUGGAUACUGGCGAGCUGGAGUGCGGUAGAGGAAGGUGGAAUUCCCGGUGUAGCGGUGAAAUGCGUAGAGAUCCGGAGGAACACCGAAGGCGAAGGCAGUGUCCUGGGGAGUACCUGACGCUCAGGUGCGAAGGCGUGGGGAGCGAACAGG
rnacentral:rRNA from 1 species